rnacentral:lncRNA from 1 species
GGGUAAGUCCCUAGGAUAAAUAAAUUAGGUUAUAUUUUUUAAAAAUUAAAGGCUAAACAUAGUCAACUGUAGAAGAUCGUCACUUACAAAGAAUGUUAUCACACAUUCUUUGGCCUGGGAAUGGGCAUGUUAGGCUUUCAGUUCUGUGUUGAGAAAUCUUUGACAACUUCAAUAAUGUCUGUGUUCACUGGUAGAAGAAUAAUGGAAGAAAGCAGUUAACUCCACCUCCAAGACACCUACUGAGAGAUCUGGAAAAUGGAAAGCUUAGGUCUGUGUAGGACUUAAGUCUGUGAGGUACAGUGAAAAGCAACAACAACAGCCACAACAAAAACUACAGAUUUCUUACAGCUCUGUCACCUGUCUCAGGUUAUCUUCGUCCCUACACUGCUGGAGGCUGGGAUGGUCAGGCUCUUCCUUCACGUGACCAGUGACUCUCGCUGCUGGUGCCUGCUGCUGAGGCCUAUGAACCUGCCUGUGAACGGGGUGAAGUGAGGAAGGAGCAAGUCUAGUGCUCUGGAAGGAAUGGAGGGCAUGGCAGUUAAUCAUGUCACCAGUCAGAACAAAACAAACACAUAACUCCUCAGCUUCCUCUGGAGGGGAGUUCAGUGUCACAAUCAACUUCGUGUUUCCUGAUUUUGGCAGACCCUGAAACCAGGACGGCUCUAUAUUGUGUUUAUUUCUAUCUAUUAUGUUACAGUUGUCUCCUGCAGAAAACAAUGAAUACUGAAGGCCACAUGUCAUCUCUGUGCACUUCUGAAACAGAAAUGGACCAGCUCUUCUGGAAUGCUUUUCUGUCUGCAGAAGCACCUCUUGUAAACGUCUCCUAAGAGCUUUUAUCUAAUCAGAGGCUUAUUUCCCAGAGAUUCCAAGUGUGCAUAGAACAUGGGUUGUAGGCAGAGGAACCCAGAGAGAGUAAAAUAAGAAAUUGUUUUUUAAUGACACCAAAGCUUUGACUGAAGAACCACAUGGUCUUUAAAAUAGAUAAAUGAGUUUUUGUUUUAUUGGAGAGAUGGCUUGUUUAAUAACAGCAAGUGGAUAUGACAGAUAAAUAAAGCACAUGGUUGAAUAUUUCAGGUUUUAGUUCCCUUAUUUAUCCACCUAUCAGAAGAUAUUGCUUGAAUCAGAGAAUAUUGCUUGAAUCUCUGCUGUCUGCUAGUCAGGCUAAAUGUGAGAUAGAAUUGAGUGUCAAAAAACAGCUAUCAAACAUAAUUUUGUGUUUUGCAGCUCUUCACUGAGAUUUCAAAAAAUUUUUAGUGUGCAUGCUGCUGAAGUGAGCACAUAAAAAAUUUUAAAUAUAUGUAUUAUUUAUUAUACUUAAUCGUCACUGGAAAAAAUAAAAAUAGAGAAUCAUGUAAAGUAAAAAAGUAAAAUUACCUCUUCCCUAUUUUCCAUGGAGUUAGACUCUAUGGAAUUUGAAGAAUAUUUGAAGAAUAUUCCCUGGUCUCAAUACAUUUUCUAUGUAAUUAUAACACAGUGGACCCUAGAGUUACUACUGGCCUGACAGGAACAACUUGGGUUACAACUGGAGUUUUAGUUUUAACUUACAACCAAAGUCUUGAGUUAUGACCAGACUGCUGGCCAUUUGUGCUUCCAGAUGUUCUCAGAUAAAGAUUUUACCCUUAAAGAGUUUUAGAAGGAACAUUACAACAUCCUUUUCUGUGUGGGAUUGAGAAAUCCUGGGCCAAUGUCUCUCUAAGAACACUGAGAUCUACCUGUAUACAGGUGAGACACAGAAAGCUGUGUCUAGGUGCCUGACCAACUUGAGUUACAACCAGCCUUCUAGAAUGAAUUGAGUUCAUAAGUGAAGGGUCCACUACAUUUCAGAAUAUUUUACACAAGUGGAAUCAUACAAAAUUUUCUGGAAGAUUUUUCACUUACCAGUGUUUUGUAGAAUUUCUGUACUAGCACAUUGUGAUUUUCCUUACUAUUUUGGGGCUAGCGUAACAUGUUAUUAUGUGAAUUACUGAAAUUUAUUAAACUUGUUGUCCAUUGAAG